rnacentral:tRNA from 1 species
ACCUGGGUGGCUUAGUCGGUUAAGUGUCUGACUUCAGCUCAGGCCAUGAUCUCACGGUUUGUGGGUUCAAGCCCCACGUUGGGCU